AUACCACAACUUCUGAAUCUGAAUGUAAAAAAGCAACCAGUCACCUGUAUGGAGGAGCAAAAAUACAAACCCAAGAUUAGAAGGUAUUAAUCAAUGCAAGGUCCUUCGGAGAGGAAUCGAUGUCGGCAGUCAUCUGGAGGUCCGCUUCCAGCAAGUUAAGCCUACGUCCGAUGUCCUUCCAGCUGUGACCAAGCUCAGAGGAUAGGUCCGAGAGGAGGUUGACC